rnacentral:tRNA from 1 species
GCAGAUGUGGCAGAGUGGUCUAAUGCGUCGGCCUUGAGUUGAUCAAGGUUGAUAACAAGUUAGCCGAUUCGCCGUAUGGCGAGCAGGAGUUCAAAUCUCCUCAUCUGCG